rnacentral:rRNA from 1 species
GACGAACGCUGGCGGCGUGCUUAACACAUGCAAGUCGAACGAAGUGGCGAACGGGUGAGUAACGCGUAAUCAACCUGCCCUUCAGAGGGGGACAACAGUUGGAAACGACUGCUAAUACCGCAUACUGAAGGAGGGGAUUGCGUCUGAUUAGCUAGUUGGAGGGGUAACGGCACACCAAGGCGAUGCUCAGUAGCCGGGCUGAGAGGAUGGACGGCCACAUUGGGAAUGAGGCACGGCCCAGACUCCCACGGGAGGCAGCAGUGGGGGAUCUGCCGCAAGGGACGAAAGGCUGACGGAGCAACGCCGCGGGAGAGAUGACGGCCUUCGGGUUGGAAAGCUCUGUUAGUCGGGACGCGGUACCGGAAUAGAAAGCCACGGCUAACUACGUGCCAGCAGCCGCGGUAAUAC